UCCAACUAUUUAUCAGAGUCCUUACUCAUGAUAGCUUUCGAAUCUGUCAGUGGAUCAUCAUUCUCAAUGAUACUAGCUUCAUUGUCAUUCCCAAUAACAAAGCCAUAUCUAAGAGGCAUAUGACCAACUCUUUCUGAUCUUCGAAGAGUAGGUGUGUGUUGUAGAUGCACCUCUUCAUUUGAUAUUUUUGGGUGAGAAAUUUCUUAAGGAUUGUCUUGUUGGAUUUUCUAUAGGUGCUAGUACAUAUAGAUUUUAAAACUUUUCUAAAUCCAAAAUAUAGUGAAAAAAUG
rnacentral:lncRNA from 1 species